CAGCUUGGCUGUGCUCUGAAUUAACCUGCAUAACAGAGACUUGUUGAGUUUGCAGCUCUUUAAGGUGCAUAUUAACACCAGGAGGAAGGCAAGGAGACACCCUGAGAGAAGGUCAAUUUGUGGCUGCUCAAAUCAGCAGGGCUCCUGGAGAAACUUGGCUGGAGAAGCCAGCUCUGGGCCCUUUGGGUGAGAAGCAAGAGAGGAAAGUCCAGUCUGUGGAGGAGGGGAGGCCCCAGUGCUUCUUGGGGGCAGCUUCUGCAGUCUGGCUAACCUGUGAGAACCCUGAAAGUGCAGCUGGGAGGGACUUCCUCCCGAAGUGGAGCUGCAACAGAAAGAGAAUUAAGGAGAGAUGGGUAAUGUGCCAACAUCAUAACAAGGUUCAAGGGAGGCACAUCUCAUACGAGUGUGAAAAGGCAAUCAUCAUGCUUAUGAACUACAAGAUUAUCCUAUAUAUUCAUUUUCAAUUAUUUUAUCCUCCUCUGCCUCUUGCCCUGGACUAUAUAAGACCUGCAAUAUAAUGUUGAAUAAGGAAGGUGAAAACGAACAUCAUUGCAUCACUCCUGAUAUCAAAGCAUGGUGAAUUAUAUUAAUUUUUGGAUAUUAAACCAACCUAAAGUUCCUGGUCAUGAAGCAUUAUCCUUUUUAUAUAUUAUUGUAUUUGAUUUGCCUAAGAUGUCUGCUAUUAUUUGUGAGUAUUUUUGUUAUUCCAUUUUAUUACUUUUGUUGACCUAUUUGUUAUAAUUUUUUGUUUUGUCAUUUUAGUGUUUUCUUAAGGAUUUAUAGUAUACAUUUCUAACUUAUUGCAGUCUAACUGAAGGAUAGGAGAGAGUCAUAUGAAAGACAGAAAGAACUUCAAAAAUCUGCAGAGGGUUUUCUUUAAAUAUUCAUCUGGAUACUACUAAGAGUAUACAUUUGAGGAAACUACCUGUGGCCAGGGAAAGAAAUACCUGAAAAGAUGAGAUGCGGCAAUCUAUGGCUCUCAUACUUGACUGAUGUGGUGACUAUUCCCACUAUACAAAGUGGAAACCAUAAUUCAUAGAGCAUCAGGGACAGAAUCCAGAAGUGUUUUGCCUUGGUAGUGGAGAACAUUCACCCUAGAAUAAAUGCUACUCUAGUCUUAUCUAACAAAGCUGAAAAGCAAGCUUCAAAAAGGUCAACCUGUUUUCAAAUAUUUUAACUGCAUCUCAGAAAAAAUCUAAGGAAUACUUAUAGGAAUACAAAAAUAUCCAGCACCUAAACAGGAUAAAAUUUAUAAUGCUUGGCAUCCCAUAAAAAAACAACUGUGUAAAGAAGCAUUAAAAUUAUACCCAUAAUGGGGAGAAAAAUCAAUAAAAAUUGAUCCAGAUGGUAGAAUUAGUACAAAAGGGCAUAAUAACACUUAUUAUAACUAUAUUCCAUAUGUUCAAAAAGCUAAAAGAAAUAUUAUGCUAUGUAAAGUAGAGGCAUAAAAGAUAUAACAAUAGACUCAAUUUGAACUUCAAGAGAUGAAAACUGCAAUGUUUGAGAUAAAAAAUACACUGAAUAAAAUUAUGGUAGCUUAGACAUUGUACAAGAAAAUAUUAGGAAACCUGAAUACAUAGCAGGAGUUUCUGCCAUUGCUAUGAAAUUAUUUAUUUUUCCUUGCUGCAAAUUUUGCAUUUUACAUUUUGAGGCCAUGUUAUGAGGUGGAUACACAGGUAAAUAAAAUACAGAAAUACAAUAAGACUAAAAAAAUAAAAAGAGAGAAUUAGUGAGCUGUGGUAUGAGUGAACCCUAACUCCCCUGGUCUCCUCUGACUCUUGAUCUAUCCCCUCAAUUCAGAGAUCACUGGACUCCUCCUGGGUUUCCCUCCUUGCACCACAGCCUGGAAACUCUCUUUAGGCAAUGAACCAAGGGCAGCUGUAGAGUUCACUUAUCUCCUUUAUUUCCCAUCUCUCAGAAAUCACUGUUCUUUUUUGCUUAAUGUCUAAAGUUUUAAGAAACAUUGUUUCACAAACAGGAAAGUAAAAUUUUCUUAAAAUUCUUAGUUAUUUUCGGUAGGAGGGUAUAUCUGGUACUGGUUACUCUACCUUGGCUCCAAGAGGCUGUGAGGUAUGGUAUUUUUAUAUAUUUCAAUUAGUUUAGGUUUAUUAAGUAUAUUUUUCAAAUCUUCUAUAUCCUUUGUGUUAUUUCUAUGUGCCUACUCUGUUACUGGGAAAAAUAUAUGAAAUUAUUUUUCCUUGCUCCAAAUUUUGCAUUUUACAUUUUGAGGCCAUGUUAUGAGGUGGAUACACAGAUAAAAUUUUUAUAUCUUCCCAGUGGAUUGAUCGUUUUCUUAUUAUAAAAUAUAUGAUAUAUGUUUUUAUAUUGUUUUUGUUAUUGUAAAACAUAUUUCAUUUUCUCUGUCAACUCUUCUUGCCUCAAAGUCUACUCUAUCUAAAGACAGUAUAGCCAUACUAUCUUUUUUUGGUUAGUGUUUGCAUAGUAUAUUUUUUUCCAUUCUUUUCCUUUCAUCCUUUUUGUGGUCUUAUAUUUAAGGUCCAUCACUUGUAAGUAGCCUAUAGUUGUUUAUUUUCAUCAUAGUUAUUGAAAAGCAAUAUGAAUAUUUCCAUGUUCCUGCAUGGUUAGAGCUUUUGGAACAAAGAAAAUUGACAUGCUCUAACAAUGGAGCAUUUCUCUUCUCCCCAGACACAUUUGCUUCUCACAGUCUAAGGAUGAUAGACCUGGAACCACUUUUUUCCUUUGUAAUGGAGCCAUCUGCUCCUAUUCAAGGGAUAGGCAAACUCAUCUUGCCAAGAGCCAAAUACUUGCACUUCAGAGUAGAGACUUUUUCUUUUCUCUUCCCCGAGAAAAUUUGUUUGCAUUAGAAAAACAAGGCUCCUCUCCCUCUCUUAGAAGACGACAGGGAAGGCAGUUGUAUCUGUUUCUAUGUAAAUGCCCAUACUUAUAAUUUUGGAACUUCUCUCCUGUAAAGCCAGAAACCAGAAACCAUACCGCCGCCCCACCACCCCACUCCCUGCCUUGCAUGCACAGGCCUAACCAUCUGGGUCUCAUUGCCCCACACCUCAGUGGGAGAUUGGGCAUGGGAAACUGCUGUCGUUAUUGCUGUGAGUAAUAAUAGUCUUCUCCAAUUCAGAAAUUUUAUGUUUGUCUUCAGGAUAAUAUAAAUAUAUAUAGACAUUAAGAUCUUAUCAAUAGUCUUACAAUUUUUGUUUCCAGUAUAAGGAUUUAGUGUAUUUAUCCUUUUUUGUGAUUACUAACAUUUUGGGGCUUAAGUGCACUACAUGUUUUCUAUUUGUAUCUUCCAGAUGCCCCUUUUGUCCUCCUUUCUUUUCUUGUUUUGAGUUAAUCGAGUGUUUUUUUUUUUUGUUUUGUUUUGUUUUUUUUGAGAUAGAGUCUUGCUCUAUUGCCCAGGCUGGAGUGCAGUGGCGCGAUCUCAACUCACUGCAACCUCUGCCUCCUGGGUUCAAGCGAUUCUCCUGCCUCAGCUUUCGAAGUAGCUGGGAUUACAGGCACCCAUCACCAUGCUCAGCUCGAGUUAAUCAAGUAUGUUUUCUUCUUUUUUUCUUUUUCUUUCCUUCUCUCCCUCCUUCCUUCUCUCCUUCCCUCCCUCCCUCGCUCUCUCUGUCUCUCUUUCUUUCUUCCUUCCUUCUUUUUUUUUUUUUUUUCAGAGUCUCGCUUUGUUGCCCAGGUUGGAGUGCAGUGGUACUCACUCUUCACUCCUCCCACUUCAACCUCAUGAGUAGCUGGCAUCAUGGAUGUGUACCACCACAUCUGGCAAAUUUUUGUAUUUUUUUUAGAGAGGGGGUUUUGCCAUGUUAUUCAGGCUGGUCUCGAACUCCUAAGCUCAAGCAAUUCACUCAGAUUGGCCAGCCAAAGCACUGGGAUUACAGGUGUGAGCCAGCAUGCCUAGCUUUGUUUUCUUAUUUCCAUUAUUGUGUUAGUUAUAUAGUUUUUUGCUAUCCUUUUAGUGUUUAUUCCUGAGAUUACACAUGCAUCUUUGAUAAAUGAUAAUAAAUGGACAAUUAUUACUUUGAUCACUUUUAUAAUUUCUACUGAUAAGUUAUCUAUGUAUUAUUGUUACUCAUUUGAAAAUAAUGUGGGUUUUUCUCUGGCUGCCUUAACUAUUUCUCUUGGUUUUGGAUUUUUGGCAGUUUGGGUAUGGUAUGCUUGAGUAUACAUUUAUCCUGCUUAGGGCUGUCUGAAAAUCUGUAGCUUGAUGUCACUUGUCAGUCUUAGAAAAUUCUCAGCCAGUAAUUUUCAAAUAUUGUUUAUGCCACAUUUUUUUCUCUCCUUUUCCUCUGGGACUCCAAAUAUAUUAGGCCUUUUCAUCGUCCCAUAUGUUUCUUACACUCUUUUCUAUAUUUCCAUCUCUUAAAAAUAUUCUCUCUUGUUAUAAUCUGGGUGUUGUCUUCUAAUCUAUCAUUCCAGCCUCUUCCUUCUUUCAGUGGUGUUUAAUCUCUUGUUAAAUACAACUUACUAAUUUUAGUUAUAUAUUUUUAGUUUUAGAAUUGUAAUUUGGUUCUUUUUAUAGAUCUCAAGGUGGUUUCUUUGCUGAAAUUUCCCAUUUUUGAUCUAUUUCCUUAUAGAUAUUUAUCACAGUUAUUUUAAAAUCUGUGUCUGAAAACACCAAUAUUUUGGUUCAGCUGUGAAUCUGUUUCUAUAAUCUGUUUUUUAUUUUGGUUCUUAGUUAUUUCAUUUUAUGUCCUAGAAUGUCUAGUUAGUUCUUAUUAAAUGUCACCCAUUGUUAUGAAAAACUGUAGUCUCUGGAUGAUGUUAUCAUUUUCCAGUUAAGGUUUACUUAGUCAAUUAGGGUGGGGGCAGGUCAUCUGUAUCUGAAGCUCGGUUCUAUUCUCUGUGAAGGUUCAUAAAUUCCCUACUUGCUUUUAUUCUUUGGCUUUAGUACUUCGUGUGUCCCAAAUUAAAGCCUGAAAUGUUUACCAGGUCUCCUCCUUGGUGGUCUUCAAGUCUCCCUAGCACUGUAAGAGUGCUAAAAUGCUCUUUUUAAAUUUUCUAGCCUCAUAGGCACUUUUUGGUUAGGUUUCUCAGCCCCUCAGUUGCUGAUUACAGAUCACAAAUGGCUUGAGAGAAAUUGGCAUUGAAUAUUGGGUUCACUUAUUUGAUCUCUUCUCUCCAGGAUCUCAUCUCCUCAUGUCCUUGAUGCCUUGGUAGCUUUGAACUUCUAUUUGUCUCCUCAGCCACAUGAGACUGUCUAAAACUCUGCUUGGCCUUACAGUAUCUUAGCUACUGUCUGAUGCUUAUCUUUUCAGUCUGAGCUGCUAUAUAUGAUUCAGUGAAUACACGAAGGGAAGAGCAAUCAUGAACGGAGGGCGCUUCUCAAUUCAUUUCUCUUCAGAAAUUUGGCUCAUAUGUCCUGCCUUCUUUGGUAGAUCUUCAAUAAUUGUAAAAACCUUUUUUUCUGGCCGGGCACAGUGGCUCAUGCCUGUAAUCCCAGCACUUUGGGAGACCAAGGUGGGUGGAUCAUGAGGUCAGGAGAUUGAGAUCAUCCUGGCCAACAUGGUGAAACCCCGUCUCUAUUAAAAAUACAAAAAUUAGCUGGGCAUGUUGGCACACGCCUGCAGUCUCAGCCACUUGGGAGGCUGAGGCAGGAGAAUCGCUUGAACCCAGGAGGUGGAGGACGCAGUGAGCCAAGAUCACCUCUGCACUCCAGCCAGGCAGCAGAGCGAGCAUGAGAAUCUGUCUGAUACAAGCCAGUCUAUCACAGACAAGAAAUGAAAUCUUGUAACCUGCUUUUAUGAAGGAGUUUGUGACUUUGUGUUAGACCUGGAGAUUAAGGAGAAAAAGAAUAAAAAAAACAUGAGGGAGAAGAGUUAGGAAAAGAUUAAGUUGCUUGACAUCCAAGAGGCUUGGCAUUGCUGCAGUCCACCUUGUUCCUCAGAUUAGUAAUUACAUUUUGGUCUUGCCACUGGGUUGGAAGGAACCUGGAAGCUGUUUUCAGAUAUCAGAAGGACUCUACUGUGGCUUUGGCAAUAAUGGA